rnacentral:rRNA from 1 species
AGAGUUUGAUCCUGGCUCAGGAUGAACGCUGGCGGCGUGCUUGACACAUGUAAGUCGCACGAUACCUCAUUCUUCGGAUUGGGGGAUAGUGGCGAACGGGUGAGUAACACGUUGGUGACCUGCCCCGAAGUGGGGGAUAACCAUGGGAAACUGUGGCUAAUACCGCAUAGCCUCCAGAGGGUUAGAUGCCUCUGGAGUAAAGCUCCGGCGCUUCGGGAGGGGCCUGCGGCCUAUCAGCUAGUUGGUAGGGUAAUGGCCUACCAAGGCUAAGACGGGUAGGGGGCGUGAGAGCGUGGCCCCCCACAAUGGAACUGAGACACGGUCCAUACUCCUACGGGAGGCAGCAGUGAGGAAUAUUGCACAAUGGGGGAAACCCUGAUGCAGCAACGCCGCGUGGGUGAUGAAGGCCUUCGGGUUGUAAAACCCUUUUCUGAGGGACGAGAAAGGACGGUACCUCAGGAAUAAGUCCCGGCUAACUACGUGCCAGCAGCCGCGGUAAAACGUAGGGGGCGAGCGUUAUCCGGAUUUAUUGGGCGUAAAGCGCGUGUAGGCGGCUUGGUAGGUUGGACGUGAAAGCUCCUGGCUUAACUGGGAGAGGUCGUUCAAUACCGCCAGGCUUGAGGUCGGGAGAGGGGAGUGGAAUUCCCGGUGUAGUGGUGGAAUGCGUAGAUAUCGGGAGGAACACCUGUGGCGAAAGCGGCUCCCUGGUCCGCACCUGACGCUCAGACGCGAAAGCGUGGGGAGCGAACGGGAUUAGAUACCCCGGUAGUCCACGCCGUAAACGAUGGAUGCUAGGUAUGGGUGGUAUUGACCCCAUCCGUGCCGUAGCUAACGCGUUAAGCAUCCCGCCUGGAUACUACGGCCGCAAGGCUAAAACCCAAAGGAAUUGACGGGGGCCCGCACAAGCAGCGGAGCGUGUGGUUUAAUUCGAUGGUACGCGAAGAACCUUACCUGGGUUUGAAGUGCACGUAGUAGUGAAGCGAAAGCGGAACGACCCUUCGGGGAGCGUGCAUAGGUGCUGCAUGGCUGUCGUCAGCUCGUGCCGUGAGGUGUUGGGUUAAGUCCCGCAACGAGCGCAACCCCCCCUGUUAGUUACACGUAUCUAACGGGACUGCUGAUAUCAAACCGGAGGAAGGUGGGGAUGAAGUCAAGUCAGCAUGGCCUUUAUGUCCAGGGCUACACACACGCUACAAUGGUCGGUACAAUGGGUCACCACAUCGCGAGAUGGAGCUAAUCCUUAAAGCCGGCCUCAGUUCAGAUUGCAGUCUGCAACUCGACUGCAUGAAGGCGGAGUUGCUAGUAACCGCGCGUCAGCAUAGUGCGGUGAAUACGUUCCCGGGCCUUGUACACACCGCCCGUCACGUCAUGGGAGCCGGUAACACCUGAAGUCGGUGGGCUAACCGUAAGGAGGCAACUGCCUAAGGUGGGAUCGGUGACUGGGACGAAGUCGUAACAAGGUA